rnacentral:rRNA from 1 species
UACAGAGGGUGCGAGCGUUGUCCGGAAUCACUGGGCGUAAAGGGCGCGUAGGUGGCGCUGCAAGUCGGUGGUGAAAGCUCGAUGCUUAACAUCGAGUCGGCCAUCGAAACUGCAGGGCUCGAGCACUGUAGGGGCAGAUGGAAUUCCGGGUGUAGCGGUGGAAUGCGUAGAGAUCCGGAAGAACACCGGUGGCGAAGGCGGCCUGCUGGGCAGUGGCUGACGCUGAGGCGCGACAGCGUGGGGAGCAAACAGG